AAGAACGUUCGCGCCUCCCGCCCCGCGCCCCGGACGGUAAAGCACACGUGAAUACGUCGCCGAACGGCUGACUUUCACGGAAUCAACAAAAAUUUCCGGUGAAUCGGCGCCGACUGCCGUGCACACGCGAAGGUGCCGGAGACCCGUCGCCGUCGAGGGAAAAAAACAGUGACCACGCGCGCGACGACCAAACGGCAAGCCGCCGGCACGCUCGGGGAUUUGCAUUUGCUCCCGGCACACGCGCCGACGCCGCGACGUGGAGCAGCGGAGCGCACAAGCGCCGCGCGUUUCCAG
rnacentral:lncRNA from 1 species